CACACACUCGCACUGAUCUCUGAUCUGUCUUGUUCUGCAGGGCUGGUUCUGGCUCAGGAUCAGAACUAUGAGGAUUAUGAUCCGUUCUACUAUCCAGCUGUUUCUCAGCAGGUUUUACAAGCUCAGACCUCAGAACCAGGACAGUACGCAGUGGAUUUCCAGACGGAGCCGACCGAACCUGGACCACUGG